rnacentral:rRNA from 1 species
CGGGUGGUAAUGCCGGAUGCUCCAGUUGAUCGCAUGGUCUUCUGGGAAAGCUUUCGCGGUAUGGGAUGGGGUCGCGUCCUAUCAGCUUGACGGCGGGGUAACGGCCCACCGUGGCUUCGACGGGUAGCCGGCCUGAGAGGGCGACCGGCCACAUUGGGACUGAGAUACGGCCCAGACUCCUACGGGAGGCAGCAGUGGGGAAUAUUGCACAAUGGGCGCAAGCCUGAUGCAGCGACGCCGCGUGAGGGAUGGAGGCCUUCGGGUUGUAAACCUCUUUUAUCGGGGAGCAAGCGAGAGUGAGUUUACCCGUUGAAUAAGCACCGGCUAACUACGUGCCAGCAGCCGCGGUAAUACGUAGGGUGCAAGCGUUAUCCGGAAUUAUUGGGCGUAAAGGGCUCGUAGGCGGUUCGUCGCGUCCGGUGUGAAAGUCCAUCGCUUAACGGUGGAUCCGCGCCGGGUACGGGCGGGCUUGAGUGCGGUAGGGGAGACUGGAAUUCCCGGUGUAACGGUGGAAUGUGUAGAUAUCGGAAAGGAACACC